rnacentral:lncRNA from 1 species
GCAGAGCGGAGGAGCAGCAGCUGCCACCGGCCGGAAGCCUGCUGGCUCGGCCGAGAACAAUGGCCGCCUGUCACUGUGGACAGCUGUCUCCCAGGCUAAGGCAAGGCUGCGCUCCCAGGGAAUGCGGGCAGGGAGCCAGGGCGGAGGGCAGAGGACGAGAGCGAGGAGGAGAGCGCGGGCACCCACUGAUGCUGGCGGCCUCGGGUAUUCGCUUUCUCUCUCUUCUCCCACCUUGUUCCUUUUCCCCGGAUGCACGCAUGCACUAGUAAUGUGGGGUUUUGCUAUGUUGUCCAGGCUGGUCUUGAACUCCUGCCCUCAAGUGAUCCUCCCAUCUCAGCCUCCCAAAGCCCUGGGAUAAUGGCGUGAGCCGCCACACCUGGCCGCCUUUGGUCUGUUUGAAGAGGGACAUGGCAUGAUCAGAUGGGGCUUUUAGGCCUCUCUGACCCUGGUGUGGAGGGUGGGCUGGCAAGAAGGGGACGACUGUCUAAAGGAGAGAGUCUAAGACCUGGGCUGGGCAGGGCCAUGGUGACAAACAGGAGCAGACAGAGUCGGGCAGUAUAAAUGGAGGGGCAGGGACAGUGUUGAAGUUUCUAUUCUGAGCAACUAGAAGGCUCGUGGUACAGUUAAUUACCCUGAUGGGGAUGGAAGAGUCAGGCAGGGGAUGGGCAAUGGGCUCUGUUUCCACAGCGACUUGUGUUCCACGGAGGUCAAGAGGCCUGAGGGCCUGCAAGAACAUGGUCUGGGCAGGAGAUGGAGCUGCGGAAUGAAUGAGGAUAGGGGGCUGAGUCCCACAGGGCCAGAGCAUGGCUAGCAAAGUGGGGAUGACUCCAGGAGUGGCCUUCUGGGUGCCACGAAGGAAAUGUUUUAAGAAGUGAGAUUGGGUCACUGCUUUCAAUGUCAUAGAACAGAGCUGAGCAGUUGAGGAGGCGUAGUGGGUAGAAAGGGAGGUCGCAGCAGGCUGAAAGCAAACCGACAGGAGGGUUAGCGUCUUUUAGCAGGUAGGCAGGGCAGAAGAGAGCCACGGGGCAGAUCAGGGAAAGAAACACUGAAGCCAUCUGUGGCUGAGAAGGAGGGCAGUGGGGAGGAGUGUCUAAAAUUCUGAGCCAUCCCUGGCUUUUCUGGGCAGAAGGGGUCGCUCCCUCAGUGGCCCUAUGGCCUCUAACAUGCAUUUUGACCCCUGGAAUCUGCCUUCUCACCCAGUGGGGGCCCUGGAAGCUGGACAACACACAUUCACCCCUGUGUGCCUGUCCCUGAGAGUGGGGGUCAGGGGAGCAUGCCUGGGGUGGCGAGGUGAUUCUGCACUGGGCCGACACUCCCGGCUUUAACUGGAAGGCGAGGACCUUCCAACAGCACAGGCUGACAGGUCUUGUUCCAUGGGGGCUGGGCACCCAAGGUAUCUACUGAUGGUCUGAGGAAUCUACCGGGAUGGAUUCCUGAUUUUUUUUUUUUUUUUUCUGAGACGGAGUUUCGCUCUAGUUGCCCAGGCUGGAGUGCAAUGGCGUGAUCUCAGCUCACCACAACCUCCACCUCUCGGGUUCAAGUGAUUCUCCUGCCUCAGCCUCCUGAGUAGCUGGGAUUACAGGCAUGAGCCACCAUGCUCAGCAGAUUCGUGAUUUUUAAAAUGAAAGGGUGACUCAUGGGAGAAGCCUCUGGAACUGCCUUUGAAAAACAACCAGCCAAGACAUGAGAAAUUAGUUCCUCUGCCAUUUGGGGGUUUCCUGCCAACUGCUGGGUUUUCCUUUUGCACAGCAGGGAGGAAGGACGCCUGUUUCCCUUGGUCCCGGUGAGGCCAGGCCUCAGCUUCCUGCCCACCCGCCACUGCUGCUGGGGCAGGGAGGCAGUUUCCGGCUGUGGGGACCCAGACAAUGCCUGGCCAAGGGCCACCAUCGUCCUCUUCCUGGACACAGCUCCCGCCUCAUCCCAGGGUCUGGCCUGGGACACGCCCUAGAGGCCCUCAGCCCUGAGUCACUGCACCAUGCAGAUCCACCCUGAUUCUGGUCCCUGCAGAGCAGGCUCCUACACAAGGCAAGAAGAUGCUCCAGGGACAAGCCAAGGUGUAUGCAAGGCCCAGGUGCCUGAGAAACACGUCUCACCGACCUUGGGGCAGGGGCUGUUACAAGAGGCUUAUAGUCUAGUGGCAGAGACAAAAACCACACUCAAAUCAUUAGUGUACGGUAUGCACUGCUCAGGGACUCAAAUAUGUGACAGGAGGCUCCAAACAAGAGCGGAGACAAGGCGUAAAUAGCCCCCUGUGGACUGGAUGUUCUGACUCCUGGAUGGCCUCCAGAAGGAUGCCUUUUACGGUCUGUGAAAGAGCUCAGGGACCAAGAUGCUCAAAGCCCUUCAUGCCCAAGAGCCCCUCCUCAGGCUGGGACACGGGAAGCAGAGCUCGGAGGUGGAACUCGUGACUGUGUAUGGGCACAUGUGAGUGCGUGUGUGUGGACAGCCAGGCUUAGUGUAGACAACGUGUGAGGCUCAGACCCCAAGUGCUGACUACACCUAUGCACAUCCACACCUGCGUGUGAAAGAAGAUGCUAGAAAAGAACAAAAAUAACUUAAAAAAUAAAUCCAAUAAGAUGGCUGGAACAUAU